rnacentral:lncRNA from 1 species
GAUCACCAUGGUAACUUACAAGCAACUCACUAUGCUUUGGUACUAGACUAUCUGAAUUUCUAAUUCAGUGAUAAAAGAUUUCUGGGCAUAGCCAAGUAUUUGUGAAGUCAGUGUGUGAGUCAAGAUGGAAUUGAUCCAUCCAAAUAAGUAGGAGUUAAUGUAUCAGUGUGUUUCAAUUCAAUAAAAUCUUGACCGGGGUAAUCCAUGUGAUAGAUUUUAAAAAUUGAAAUAUAAUGUGGAUGACUA